rnacentral:rRNA from 1 species
GACGAACGCUGGCGGCGUGCUUAACACAUGCAAGUCGGACGGGAUCCGGGCUUUCGGGUUUGGUGAGAGUGGCGAACGGGUGAGUAACACGUGAGUAACCUGCCCCCUUCUUUGGGAUAACGUCGGGAAAUCGGCGCUAAUACUGGAUAUUCUUGCUGCAUCGCAUGGUGUGGUUUGGAAAGGGUUUCUGGUGGGGGAUGGGCUCGCGGCCUAUCAGCUUGUUGGUGGGGUGAUGGCCUACCAAGGCUUUGACGGGUAGCCGGCCUGAGAGGGUGUCCGGCCACACUGGGACUGAGACACGGCCCAGACUCCUACGGGAGGCAGCAGUGGGGAAUAUUGCACAAUGGGCGCAAGCCUGAUGCAGCGACGCCGCGUGAGGGAUGACGGCCUUCGGGUUGUAAACCUCUUUCAGUAUGGAACAAGGAUCCUUCUUUUGGGGGGUUUGAGGGUACGUGCAGAAGAAGCGCCGGCUAACUACGUG